CAGAUAUCAUGAUGAGAAUCUUUUUUAUCAUACAGUUAUCCCUGUCUGAAUGGGUAUAAAAUGGUAAUAACUCAUAUGUCGAUAACAUUACUCUGAGUAUUCA
rnacentral:snoRNA from 1 species